CCAUUGAUGUAAAGGGAAACACAUUCCCUUCAAGAGACAAAUAACCCACUCUUAUCAUGAGCUUAAACUUAUCCAUAAAUAUGCAGCAGCAGCGUGAUCAAUCUCAACAAAAUGUAUAUAGCUGAGGUAAUGGUUGAGCUUGAUUCUAAAACAAUAACAACAUAUCAUAAGAAAAUCCAAAUCAUUUAAUUAGUACAUGUUAAAUUAUAUAAAUUACAGAAAUAAAACAUAAUAAUUAUGCAUAAAAUAGAUUUUACCUUUGCAAACAAUUCAAUCCAUGAACUACUAUCUCAUGCUUGAUAGUGUAAAUUUGUGAAAAUGGAUUGUAGAAGAGUUAUGUGUCAAAACUGGUAUUGAUCCACCUCCUUUUGUUUUUGGUUACAACGCACUUCCAACCUCUGCUGAUGGUGCUUGAUUCCUUAUGAGUUUGAUGUUCCAAAGGGGGGAAUUUGUAUGAUAUUUUGAUGGCUUUUUUUAGGUCAAAUGAUGUUUCUUUUUAAUUAUUAUGUUAUGUCAGAGCUAUUACCUUUUUAAUUUUGUUUAUGUUAUGGAUAUGACCUUCUCGUUGUUUAAGUCUUUAAAUUAGGAUUUUUGUUUAAGUAUUUUAUCUCUAUUGAACCAUUAAAAUGUCAAUGGUCAAAAAUCAUUAUGUAAGGCAACAACUUUUGAUGAAUGGAUUUAUUUGGUUCGAAGGGAAAAAUGAUGUAAUUGUUAUGGGAGUGGGGAAAGUUUGAGAGGAAGAAACAAAGAACAGUGACAGGAAGAAGAUGAAAAGUUUGGUUUUUAAAAAUCAAAAUUUGAUGUUUACCUUUUUUAACUUCAUCCCUAUGUAAAUUUGUGUUUUUUGGUUUUAGUCCCUGUACUAACAUUACUUAUCAUCUCAACAAAUUUUGCCAACUCAUAACCUGCCACGCGUGCCUCUGGUACCACCAAAGCGUUUUUGUUGAUGGAACUUGACGGCAGAGACGAUUUCCAAAAGGAAUCGAAAAUACAAAGGUUGUUUUAGAACAAAAAAACUAAC
rnacentral:lncRNA from 1 species